rnacentral:ncRNA from 1 species
CAUGUGAAUCAAUUUGAUAAUUUGAUGCAAAGUGAACCUUUUACUAGGGAUUGGCAUGAUGUGAAUCCUCAUGAAAGAGAGGAAUUCUUUCGAGAAUGUGGACACAUGUGGUGCAUGGUUUUCAUCCACUUGUAUUGUAAGGUGUUGGGUUAAGUCUUGUAAUGAACACAACCCUCAUGUUUAGUUGCCAACAUUGAAUUUGGAACCCUAAACAAAUGGUUGGUGAUAAGAUGGAGUUGUUGAUGAUAAGUUGGAGGUAGGAAACAAUGACAUCAUGUCAUUGUGUAUGCCCUAGGGAACACAUG